GACCAGCAAAAUGUCCUCACUUUGGUACAAAUGGUCCUCAAUUUGAUGGUGAAAUCUGGAAAAUGGUUCUCACUGUGAUGCCAAAACAGGAACACACACACACACACACACACACACACACACACAACCCUUCUCAGUCUGACCAAACACAUUGAACUACCUUCAGUUCCUGAUCACAUAUUGAUCCAGGACGUUCUCCAGGACGUUCUCCAGGACGUUCUCCAGGACGAUCAUUAACUGUUUUGAUGAAUAUGCAGCUGUUUUUGUUACUGAUUAAAAUGUUUUAUUAAUUUUGAA